rnacentral:tRNA from 2 species
UCGGCACGUAGCGCAGCCUGGUAGCGCACCGUCAUGGGGUGUCGGGGGUCGGAGGUUCAAAUCCUCUCGUGCCGGACCA